UGGGUCUGCGGUGGGCUGAGUGGCCCUUAAUACCCUAGAGCCAGGCCUGCCCCCACAGCUCAGCGAUGCACCAAGCGGCAGGAAUUUUCCUUGGGGGAGGGCAUCGCUGCCCCUUCGACCCAUGUCCUGCACUCCUUGCACCCCUCACUCUGCACCCAGAGGUAGGGUGGUCAGCUGUGUGCAGGAUGCAGGUCCACGGUGGCCUGUGAUGCCGGGGCUCGGCCCUGGCUCGCACUCUGCGCGAGCUCUUCUUGGGGGGUUGCUGCUCCGGGGGCUGGCACGGAGGCGGGGGUGUCUCUUCGCGGGUCUCCCUGCCAGCAUCGAGCAGAAGGAUCCUCUCCGGAGGUGCGCCCACUUUGGGCGCCGAAGCCUGCCCUCAAAGCGGACAAGCCCGGGGAGCUGCAGGGAGAAGCAGAAGGGCAAAGCUCGACCAGGAGACUGCGGUUGUCCGGACAAAACUGACGACGAAGGGCGUCUGUCCGGGCUUUUUUGCAAACCUCUUUCGAAAUCUCAUUUUGAGAAGCAUUCGUUUUGAAUUCGCACUUGCAUUAGCAGAGACCCAUAGAACCUAAAAUACCGACUUUAUCUCGGCCAGCAUAGUGCCAGCUUGAGUGGUGUGUUUCCGAUUCGGUUGAAAGCGUAUUUCCUUUUCGCAGAGUGGGGGUGGGUGGUAGUGCUUGCAAGAACACUGCAGCUUGAGAAACUGGCGGCCUCACUGAUUAGUCACAUACCACUGCUCAUUUAAGUAUUGUUUGGCAAAACAAUUUUCUCAUUUGGAGCGAGUGAGAUUCAGAUCCGUUGGACGCGCUCAAGAUCAAAAAGUUAUUAACCAUGCUGUGAGGAUGAGCCAGGGCACAGAUAAAUGAAAAUACAUCAUUGUUGACUAUGCAAAGAUGACUUUCUUGACUCCUGAUCAGUAAGAGGGCUUGCCCUUUAUUUUUCCAGUGGCAAUGAUAGACCCGUACUGAUCUUUCUUCCCAUUUGCUUUUCUUUGCAAUCAAAAGCAAGGUGAUUGGCUGCAUGUCACCAGUACCAACAAAUAAAUAUUUAAAGAUAAUGGCAAAUAUUUAUAUUAUAUAUGAAGACUUUUAAAAAAGAAUUCAGUCAAAUUUGUUAUAAAGUUAUAUUUUAUUUAUCAAAUCCCAUUUUUUUACUGAUGCGUUCCUACUGGCUCACAUUUAAAAAUAAGGGUAUUCUGAACCUCCGACUUUUCAGUUCUGCCAGUUUAAUUUCUUGAUACUGAAGAGUACUCUGUUUUUUAUUUCUCUCUAACUCAGCUUUAGAGAUGAUCUGUGUGUUGACUUUGCCUUUCAUGGGCAACAGUACAGAUGGCGCUGAGCCCCUGAAGCUUUGGAUUCAAAGGUAGAAGAAUUCACUGGGCUAGAUCACUCUCAUUUUAGUAUAAAUUGGCAUUUUUAUGGCGUUUUACACUAUGAAGUAUUUUCAUUGGAAGCAUCAUCAUUCUUCACUGGUUCUCUGUUAUUAACCCAGUUAUGUAGAUGAAGAACUGUACUCAUUCACUGAAGGAAUGGCUUACUUGUCAGUGGUGCUUUGGAUUUGGUUCUGGGGUUUCAAUACUUUAGAAGGCUUUACAUAUAGGCUGCUGAGUUUGUGUGAUGGUACCUUCUUUUGUGCUGUUUGUACUUACCUUUUUGUGAAGAAAGGGGUUGCUGGGUCACUUGCAGUAGAGCUGUGACUGUACAGAACCAAUCCCACCAGUGUCAUUGCCUAGCUAAUCUGAGGGGUAGUGACUUGACUUGUUAAAGGUUAAAGUCACACCUCUUCCUCAGAAUUGAUAGACCAAAAAAUGAACUCAUUGCCCAGAUCAACUUUUUCCCCCAAGUAAUUAUUAGGCAGUGCAAAUAAUUUAAUUCCUGAAUUUAUGAAUCCUGUUGGUUUGAAAUUCUUCAGUGUGCAUUUUGUAAAGUUGGGACUAUCUGUACAUGUUUGUGUUAUGUAAGUAUAGGAUAUUAAUAGAAAAAACUGCCUCUCCAGGCCUUUGAAAAUACAUUAGAUUUUGGCUCUUUACUGUGAAAUUUGGUAUUGAUUUGUUCCUAUCCAAGAGGUAUCAUUACUGUAAUACUCAAUAAAAACUUCAUUGUAAAGUGGGUUUCCCUGACUUAGGGAACCUAGGGAUUUUAUCUCACAGUCACCAUGUACUUGGAAGUCAUGCACGUAUGUCUUCAGGACAACAACAACAACAACAAACUCUUUAAACUUGAAAUGUUUUUGUGUAAAUAAAGCUUUCAGUAUAGGAAGUUUGACUUUGCACAGGGUUUCCGUAAAUUAAGUGCAUGUGUGUUAAAGAUUUAUAAAAUGAACCAGUUUUCCAGCAUUUCAGCCUGUUAAGAAUUUAUUCCAGGAAAGAGGAAAAUGGUCUGUAAAUUCUGCACUUUUAACAAAUAGGUCCUGGAUUCUGACAUCUUGGCUCCUAGGCUGAAGGUCAGGGGAGAAAGAGUACAGAAAAGAGAGCAGUCUAGGAUGGCCCUCAAGUUCUGGUUUUGGACAAACGGCUAUCUGAACUUUGGAGUAUUGUAGGAUUGUGGAAGCAAAGGGAGAGAAAGAUGGGUUCAUGCUAAUGUCCUUGAGGACAGGACUGUGUGUUAUACUGAUACUUGGAGCACCUACUAUGUAUGAGUCAUUCUUCAGGUGUUGGAGACGGAGUAUGAACAGACAAAAAUUUCUGCCCGUAAGAAACUAUAUUCUAAGGGUGAUGAAAGUAGAAAUAGAUAAUAAAUAAAAUUUAUAGUAUGUCAGGUGGUUGGUGCUAUGGGGAAAAUGAAGCAAGGAAAGGAGAGGGAAUACUGGGAUGGCUGUGUUGCGCUUUUAAGCAGGGUAGUCACGGUAGGCCUCAAUGAUGAAGUGACAGCUGAACAAAGACCUGCAGGAGGUGAUGUAGAACACGGGUUGGACUUGGGUGGGGAGGGAAGAACAUUCCAGGCUGAGGGAUCAGGAGGUGCAAAGGCCUCUUUCUCCAGAAUAGCUAGGAAACCAGUCUGGCUAGCACUGACUGAUCCAGGGGCCAAAAGUAGUAGAAGAGGGUGGAGGGGCUGCAGAUGUGCAGGGAUCAUGAAGGGUCUUGCUUGCCUUUAUAAGAACUGUGCCUUUUACUCUGCACAGAGGGGAGGCCGUGGACAGUUAUGACCAGAGGAAAGACAUGAUCUAAUUUAUGUUUUAACAGAUCACUCUGCUCUGGGGUCUCUGUUUUUUCAUUUCUAUUCCCUACCAUUAGAGGUGCUACUUGUAGUUUAGGGUAGAAUGGGGGAGUCUAAUGAAUUGGUGCACAACCCCAACCCAUGUGCACAACUCUCAUUCCAGAGUGCCAGAGCCGGAACUUCUGUUGGGCCCUAGAAAUUCAGGGUAUUCCAGUCCAGCUCUUUAAAUAACAUGGGCUUACUUCACUUUUUCAGGUUUCUGUUGCCAAAAGGAAGGGAGCAAAGAGAUUAGCUCUAGACUUCUGCUGACAAAAGAAGAUUAGCCUGCUGGCAGGUUGACUGUUUUCUAACUUCUUUGGGCUUCUAGGUUUUUUCUUACGAUUGGGUCAUAUUUUAAAAGACAUUUUACCUUCAACAUUUAAGAUCUCAUUUAUUUUCUGUUUUACAUUCCUCUGCCUUCCCCCAUUAUAGUAAUUUUAAUAGAGGUCUGAUUAUUGUUACCUGUUACUAAUGUUUUGGCUGUGAGGCCCCCAGGACUUCUCUGUUAACUUGAAUAAGUCUUACAGUUGAACAAUUCUACACAUACAUGACCCUAUAAAAACCCAUAGGGUUUAUUGUCUUCCCUGCCUUUAUAGAUACACAGGCUUCUCUCCUCGUUCAUGGAACCUCUCCCCCUUUUACUGCUCUAUCAUCUAGUUGGGGAAAAUAAGUGUUUCUAAACACAGAUUCCCAUGGCAACAUAACAAAAAGGUAAUAGAACAAAUGUUUAUUUUGUCUAGCUGCUGUCUGAGUAACUUUAGACCCUGAACACGUUGGCUCCUGUUACUUUGAAUGAUGUUGUUACAGAUUUCCUUGUUUCCCUCAAAACCUCUAGGGCUUGGUGGUAUUGUCACUGUGCCUGUGACAUGAAGGAAGGUAUGAGAGUAUGUGUGUCUUACUGUCAGUCUACCCACAAGUAUGCAUUGGUUGCUUUUCCAAGCUUAUGGUCCCAAAUGGAGGCAUCACAACACAACCAUGCCGGAAAAAAAAAAAAAAAAAAGGCAAAAAGCACACCAGUUGUCCCCUUUGUUUUCUUAAAUUCAUUAAUUCAGUAUUGUCUGUGUUAAGCAUUGUACUAGAUGUUAUGUUUAUAAAAAUAAAAAAAAAAAAGAGAAAAAGCAGGAAGGGUGACUGCUUUCGAAAAUAUCAGUCUAGAAGGGACAUGUUACGUUGUUUCCUCAGAGAUGGCUUUGGAAGUAGCUUUUCUUCUCUGCAUUCUUUCACUUAAGUUGACAUUUCAAAUCUACCUUUAUGUUUCUAAUGCUUCCUUUGAAAUUUUCUUUUAGAUUCUUUUGUCUCUCUUGACUCUAGUGACAUACUGGUCACUUUUUAUAUCUAGGGCAACUCUGUGCAAGGAUAUGUGUUAGAAAUCUGUGUCAGAGAAGCCUUUCCUUCUGAUGAUUCAGAUCUAGAAAGUGAUGACAUCAGCAUGUGCCCACAACAGGUCAGAACUUCUUUUGAUCUGCCCAGGGCUCAUGGAGGCUAUGUGUUAGGGGAAGCAGGGGACUGUGAGGGUAAGGGUCCUUUAGAUCCUUCACCCAGCCCUAUACUUCCACUGGGGGUGGUGUCUCUGCUGUGACAGCCUUCUUCACCUACAAAUUAAGUGCCCUUAAUCAUGACCUUAGUCUGUCCUGUGACAUUCAGCUUGAAGUGUCUGGUUUACGCAAGUGUAUAUUGAAUUCUUUCUUGUAUUUCCUCAUCCUUGUAGUAGAUAAAACUUUAUUUCCAGAAAUAAUUGCUUUAUUCUUAAUAUCCCCAAGAGAUAUUUCUUUUUUUUCCCUCUUCUGUCAAAUCCAUCUAGGGCUUUAGCUAGCUUUGAGCCUUCUUGAACUUAGGCUUUUGCAUAAUAAGUUUCUAUUUAUGUUUUCUUCUCCAGGAUACCAAAUCCUGGGAAAAUCUUAGUUAUUUUCCUCAGCUCCCUAAUUUUCAUAUUAAACUGAAGUGAAAUAUUGAUGUUGGCAUCUUAUGUUGAUAAACUUCUAGUAAUUUUCUCAUUUGACAUUAUAAGUUUCUCUUCCUUCGCUUAGUGUCCUAGGUGCCUUAUGCUUUGAAUGACCUGCUUUGAAAUUAGCAAUCUCAAUAAGUUAAAUGAUAUCAAUGCUAAAGGGAGCAAAAGGGGGAAAAUAGCAAGUUAAGAAAACAGUAAGUAUUAUGAACAUCUAUCAAGCUGUGUUUACAUUUCCAAAUAUAACGUAGGGUUACUCAGCUUACUGACAUUUUGGGUGGGAUAAUUUUUUUGUUGUGGGGGGCUGGCUAUCUUGUGCAUUGUAGGAUAUUUAGCAGCAUCCUUGUACCCUGCUUGCUAGAUGCCAGUAGCAAUCCCGAGUUGUGACAACCAGAAAUGUCUCUAGACAUUGCCAUAUGUCCCCUGGGGACAAAAUCACCCUUGUUGAGAACUACUUAUAUAAUCCUAUAUAUUUGGGUUGAUUGGCCCUGAGGAAAAACUAGAUAGGAUAACUUGAACCUUCCACUAGCAGAAGGAUAGAAAAACUAUACUUUCUGUGCAUAUUCUUUUUCUUCUUCUUUUUUUUUUAAGAUUUUAUUUAUUUUAAAGAGAGCACACAGCACGGGUGGGAGGGGCAGAGGGAGAGAGAGAGUCUCAAGCAGACUCCACGCUGAACACGGAGCCUGAUGCAGGGCUCGAUCCCAGGACCCUGAAAUCAUUGCCUGAGCCGAAACCAAGAAUCAGACGCUUAACCAACUGUGCCACCUAGGCGCCCUGUGUGCAAAUUCUUUUUUAGUUCAUCAUAUGAUACAGUCUCAACAUGGCUUCGUUUGUACAUUGUGUGUCCAAAUUUGUACUUCUAAACCUUAUCUCAAGAAUAUCUAACCCUUUGGUUUUCAAGUCUAUUGAGAUGUAAUGUUUCAUGCUUUUCCUUGAUUAUUUUUCUUAACAUUGUUUGAGGAUGAUCUCAUGUAGCACCAACUAUCCUAGAAAUAGACUGAUGUUACAAACUUGUAUGAUUCAGCUUUAGAGAUGUGGAGGUGUGAUAUUUGAAGAAAGCUUUCUUUAGCACUGAUGAAUGACAGUGGUCAUGAAAAUUACAAUCAGGGAACGAGCCAAUUGCCUGAAGAUUUCUGUAACUUUCUGUAAUUCUAUUAAGGCAACAUGAUUUUGAAAGUUUGAAAUGUGUGUGUAUAUGUAUUUGCUUAUGUGUUAGAUUUACUGUAGUGAAGAAAAUCUGUUGGUUAUCCAUCAGUGUUAAAUGCACAUCAGUGUUAAAAGAAAUAGACAUAAGGGGCACUUGGGUGGCUCAUUUGGUUAAGUGUCCAGCUCUUGAUCUCAGCUCAGGUCUUGAUCUCAGUGUUGUGAGUUCAAGCCCUAUACUGGGAUCCAUGCUGAGCAUGGAGCCUACUAAAACAAACAAAGAAAUAGACAUAAAAUGUAAGUGAACUGUAUAUAUAAAAAGGUAUUGAUGUAUAGAGAAGUGGGGGCAUUGUGGGCUAUAGUAGUUAGACUGGUUUCAUGGAAGAAAAGGAUUUGAAGGUUAUUUUGAAAGGUGGGUAGUAUUUGGAGAAGAGGAAAGGGAACAUUUUUUUAGGGAACAGGAGAAAACACAACUAAGAGAAUUAGUUAUGAGAUGGACUGGCCUGACAGCAAGAAUAUCUCAGGUAGCUUGAACUCAAUUGCGGUUCUCUUUCUGAUUGUGCUUCAGAAUCAGUGUGGAGUUUUUAAAAUACAGAUGCUUGGAUUCUACCCCCAGAAAUGAAGAAGUAGGUCUGGAGUAGGGCUAAGGCAUUGCAUUUUUCUAGGCCAUGGAAAGCUGUUAAAGUUUCUUGAGUUGUGAAGUAUUGAGGAAAGGUGUUUUAAAACUCCCGACUGGAGUGCAAAUGGAUUAGAGGAAGCAAAUGUAUUGCUUUUAAAAGUCUUCAGUGAUUUGUUUAUGUGAGCGUCUGUUUAUUCUGACUCUCCAAUGAGAUUUCUCUGUUCCUUGAGGUCAAGAACUAUCUGCUUUGGUAUGUAUUUAUUAAUCUUGAAUUAUGUUCCAGGCACUGGGCUAGAUUCUGAGGAUACACAGAUCACUUAUAGCUUCUGCUUUCCCUCAGAGUUUGGAUUUGGAAACAAAUAAUAAAGGGGUUUGUUUUUUUUUAGUUCAAUAUCUAAAUUAUUGGCUACAUUAUGUUGCUGAUUGUAGUCUUAGAGCCUAUCUAAUAAUUGCUGAAUAAUGUACAUUUUAACUUGUAGAAACUAUAUGUUAGUUAUCCAUAGCAUUGAUAACAAAUGAUCAAGGAUUUGGUCCCUCAAUUAUAUUUUAACUUCCCUAUUUUACUGUUAUUUCAGAGGUUUACUCAGCCUCAAAUUUGAGAGUAAGAGAUCUAAAAAUAUAUAUUGAGAAUCUAUGAUGUGAUAAACCCCAUGCUGGAAGCUGGUCAUGAAACUGUUUUAUAAUAGCAUGUUAUUUCAACUUAGAACUUUUAAAACUACCUGCCUUUUAUAGUUCAUAAAGUACUGUCACAUAAUUAUCUUAUUUGAGCCUCAAAACAGCAUUGUGGGAUAAGCAGAGCUGAUUACACCCCCAUUUUAUUUAUUUGGAAACAGGCUUAUAGAAGCUUUGCCCCAGAUCACCUGCUAGGAGGUGCCAGAACCAAAACUAGAACUCAAAUCUUUUGACUACUAGUUAUUUUUCUCUGUAUCAGACUGCAUGUGUUUAUGCUUACUAGAAUUUUUUGAGAUUAGGUCAUCAAAAUACUGCAGAGACCAUUCACUAGGAAGCAAAAGUAGCUUUGUUAAAUGAAAUUCCAGUGAUUUUUCUAGAGGAGUAAAAAGAUUCUUAAGUAGUAUUCCCAAAAGUAAGUGAGAUAUCUUGAAAAUUCCAGUAUUUUGUUUAAAAAAACGAAACAAAACCAUAUUGCUAAGUGUAAUGAUUUAAAAAUAUGACCAUAAGUUAUUUGAUACUUCUCCUUUAAAGAGGUGGAGCUAAUAAUCCUCACCUUCAGUGAAGGUGGUACUGACUCACUUCUCUAAUAUAUGGAAUGUGGUAGUAAUGAUGGAGUGUGAUUCUGAGGGUAGGUCAUGAAAGAUAUGUGGCCCCAUCUUGCUUUUUCUCUCAAUGUUUCUCUGAAAUCAGUUGCUCUAAAGCAGUUUUUCAACCUAAGCACUAUUGACAUUUUGGACCAGAUAAUUCUUCGUUGUGAAGGAUGUUUAGCAGUAACCCUGGCCUCUACCCACUAGAUGCCAGUACCCCCCCCCCCCAACACACACUCCAGGUGUAACAGCCAAAAAUGACUCAGACAUUGUGAGAUACCCCCUGGGGGGUGGAGCUGCCCUCUGUUGAGGGACAGCCAACAGCUCUGUUGAGAAGACACCGAAGCAGCCUUACAGAGAAGCCCACAUUACGAAGAACUGGGGCCUGCCAAAGCCACGUGAGGCAGCCGUCCUGGAACUGGAUCUUCCAGCCUCGGCCAGGCCUUCAGAUGACUGUAGCGAAGGCCAGUAUCUGGACUGCACUCUCCUGAGAGACUGUGAGCCAGAACCACUCAACUAUCCUGCUCCCCAGUUCCUGACUCACAGAAACUGAUAUAAUAAAUCUUGUUGAAGUCACCAAACGUGGGGGUAAUUUAUUACUUAGUAAUACACUAAGUGUUACUGUAAAAUAUAUGUGUAUGUCAUAUAAGAUGGAGAGUGACAGACUGAGCAAACCAAAGAUUGUGAAGACACACUAAUGCCUGUUAUAUGCAUCUGUAGUCAUCAGCACCACGCUCUAGCCAACUGAGCUAACAGGCCACUUGAUGCAUCUGUAGUCAUGUUUGUAGCAUGUUUACAGGGUGCUUUUCUGGAUAUGAAGCCUAUAAAUACUAUUACUGUAAAAGGCUUUUAAUUGGAGCAGCAGGCAGAGUUGAUUGAUGGUAAUCAUAAAUAGUUACAGUGUAAUAUAGGAUUAGUUUAUUUCAUAUUUGCUUGAAAGGAGUUAAAAACUAGUUAGUGAUAACUUCAAAAACAUUUGUCACUGAAAUUUUCAAACAAAAGUAGAGAAGAUAAAACAUGGUAACAACAUUCUAAUGAGGCUUGGGAAAAUUAAUUCCACAUGUAAUAAAAUAAUCCACAUGUAAUAUUUUUGUAAUCAAUAUGAGAUAACUAUUGCUCUUGAUGCAGAUGUAUCAACUGCAUUUGCAAUCAAAGAAAUAUGUUAACUGACACCACUGGGGCUUUUAAAGCUUCAGUGAAGAAAUACCUUAAAAUCAUUCUUUUUUUUUUUAAGAUUUUAUUUAUUUAUUUGACAGAGAGAGACAUAGCGAGAGCAGGAAUACAAGCAGGGGGAGUGGGAGAGGGAGAAGCAGGCUUCCCGCUGAGCAGGGAGCCGGAUGUGGGACUUGAUCCCAGGACCCUGGGAUGAUGACCUGAGCCGAAGGCAGACGCUUAACGACUGAGCCACCCAGGCGCCCUCAUUCUUUUUUUCAAAUGGAGCUUUACAGCGAAUGAAGAUUAAUUGAAUUUCACAUUUUAAUCACAAAUUGGUUUGGAUUUUUAGAUUGCAUGCCUAAGUGAAUUUCUGCAUUGUUUGAGUUUUAGUUUUCAUCAGGCUAAUAAAAAUUAAAAAAAUUGUGAAAAACAUUUUUGCUCCAGUAGCUUAGAAGUUUUGCAGCAGGAAUUAGACCAAUCAGGGAUGGCAGGUAUCUAGCAUAUGUGUUGCUAUGCUCUGAGUUCCAGCCACAUAGCUAGUGUCCCUAAUAAAUCCUGUCACAAAUACACUUUCCUAUCUGAAUGAGAUUUUCAUGAAAAUACCCAAUUUGCAUAAAAGUUAUUGAACUAUUAAGUUGUGUAAGGCAAAGUAUGUGGUCAAUUAAAUGACUCUUCGAUUCAGUCUACUAAUCUAUUGAUAGAGUGUUUAAUAUGUCACUUGUGUUUUGAGCCUCUUUGAGAGGAAUAUUUAAAAACUCAAAAGUUGGGGAUUGGUUGCAUUGUACACACUUGUAACAGUUGUAUUAAUGACAUCUGAUGUUCUUCCCAUUAAGUAUGGAAGUGUUAUUGUAAGAAACUAAAUUCCACAUAUAAAAAAUACUAUAUAUAGUUGCACAUAGUCAAAUCAUUUUGUGAUUCUUUAAAAAAAGUGUUAUUAUAUAAACAUUAAAACAAGGUAUUUGAGAGUUAGUGAAGAUAUUAACGAAAGCUAACAAUGUUUCAAAUGUGAUGAGUUUUUAAAGUCAGUUUUAAGUCCCUUGCUGCUCUGAAGAAUAUUUUUUGUUUCCUAAAUCAAAACUUGAGUUCUAGUUUUUGCAUAAAUUUACCUUAUUUUCAUAACAUUAUUUCCAAAAUGGAGGGGUAGAGCAUAAAAAUAAAAAAACUAGUGAUACUUGCACAUUUGUCUGAAUUUAGGAGGAAGAAAAAGUAGGUUUCUGUAGUAGAGGGAGAUGUGUGCCAAAAAAUGUCUAGUAUGAUAUUUAUUGAAAUUUGUAUCAGGUGUUAUAGGUUAAGAGAAAGUUCCAAGUUAGUAGUAUAAAUUACUUAUUUAGAAGGCACAUUUUAUUUUAUUAUUAUUUAUUUUAUUUUUUUUAAGAUUUUUAUUUAUUUAACAGAGAGAGAGAGAGAGAGCACAAGUAGGCAGAGCGGCAGACAGAGGGAGAGGGAGAAGCAGGCUCUCCGCCGAGCAGGAAGCCCGAUGCGGGGCUCGAUCCCAGGACCCUGGGAUCAUGACCUGAGCUGAAGGCAGCCGCUUAACUGACUGAGCCACUCAGGCGCCCCUAGAAGGCACAUUUUAAAGGCUAUUAGCAGUUAACCUGAAUUCAGUUGGAAAAAAGCCUCAAAUUGUAUGAUCUGGAGAAGAGAUGUCAUGUUUUUGCAAUUAUUUCCCUCACCUUAGAUAUUUUAAUUAAUUUGAUGCAUUCAAAAGAAUUUGUUAAUUCAGUGUAACUACAAAUUUUAAUAUGUUUAAAUUUUUCCAUUAAUUUCCAAAAAUAAACAAAAUUGUGUUUGUCGUUUUAACCAUUAUUGAGGGUUCAUUUUUUCUCAUUAACAUCAUUCCAGGGAUUAGAGAAGUCAUCUGUGACCACUGAAAGAAAUUGUAAAACCACUUCUGAUCCUCACAAAUUACUCAGAGACUUGUCAGAUGAUUGCUCAUUCUUCAUUCUGUUGGGGAAAACCCAAAUUGUUUUUUGAGGAAAAACCUCGUACUGUCAUUUGUCCUCCCAUGCUCUGUUAAUGUGAGCACUUGUCCUGGGUAGGCAGCAACCUCGCCUUUCUUAAGAGGUGGUCUCUCUUACUCUACCCAGCGACUCACCUGGCUGUUAAAGCAUAUUGAUCUGCCUCUGCCUUGCUGCAUAGAAAAUCUGCAGGCCAGGUGCCAGCCCUGGAGCAGAAACAGAGUCUCUGUUUCUCUGUACCUAUCAAAAGCUCAACUGAUGGAAGUCAUCUUUGGAGGAUUGUCUGAGGAACAUGGAGCUUACCUUUUUUUCUCAACACACUUAAGAUUUCCUCUUAGAUUAAGCCCAUCAGAGAACAGCAGCAUGCCAUGCUAUUAUGUACUCUCUUCCCCACCGUUGCUAAUAAUGAACUGUAUUUUGGCUUUAUGAAACAGUCUCCACUGAUAUAGAUACUCUAAGAAGAGAACCAUCUGAAACCCACUAUUAUAUCUGUGUAAGAAUGUUGAUUAGGACAUUUUUACCACAUUAUACAGUGUCUCCUUCAUGAACAUACACAGCAGGAACUCUUCUCUGGUUUUAUUACAGGAAUAAUUAUGCCUCUCUUCAGUUCUCCUGAGUACCUAGUUUGUUUUUAUUAUAUGGUUCCUGUGACUCAUGUCUUAACUGGUUGUGUUCUCUUGUUGUGUGAUGGCUUUAGUGGGCUCAGAGCCCACUAAAAAACCCCACUCUAAUGGGUAUUUAGAAAGGACCUCAUAAUAAUCAUUUGUAUGUUAACCUCACCCAUACAGAAUUUCUUAUUUUCCUGUAAUCACUGUUAUUUCAAGUUAUGUAUGUAUAGUUCCAGACUGCUUUAAACCUAUUGUGGAAUAAAGUGGGAUAAAUAAAUUUAGAAGUUAAACAGAAUUAUACUAGGAUAUAUUAAGAAUCUAAUAAGCCAGGUGCACCUGGGUGGCUCAAUUGGUUAAGCAUGUUCCUUCGGCUCAGGUCAUGAUCCCAGGGUCCUGGGAUCGAGCCCUAGAUUGGGCUCCCUGCUCAGUGGAGAGUCUGCUUCUCCCCCUACUCUGCCACUUCCCUUGCUUAUACUCUCUCUGUCAAAUAAAUAAAAUCUUUAAAAAAAAUCCAAUACACCAGUUUUUUGGGGGGGAGAGAGGAGGCAAGUUUGAAUGGGUAACAAAACAUUCAGUUUUAUUGAAUAUUGUGUCCUAGGCACUGGAUUCACAUCAGUAGAUGAGUGAGCAUGACAUCCUAUAUUACAAUCACUGCUUUUAAUGAAUUUUAUAUUUUUCCUUUAAUUUUUUCUUUACCAUAUCAGUGAUUUUAUAAAAUGUGAGUUAAUUUUAUUAACUUUGGGAGAUUUCAUGUGAAUUUAUAAUGGGAGGAAAACCUUAUUAAACAAUGUAUCCUGAAUUUUAGUUUGGGGAAUCUUACCAUUGUAAGGAUAAUUCCAUUUUAUGAUGUUGUUCAUGAAAACCAGGUUUUAUUUGUAGCUAUAAUUUUUAAAAUGUAAUUAAGAGGCCCAACUGGUAAUACUAGUAAGUGAAUCAUUGUAAUAAAGGUAAAGUGAAUAGCUGGUCCUGGGGUUGCCCUUAUUCUGGACAGCUUGGCAUUCUGGAAAAAGAAUGCACAUUGAAAUUAGACCAAUCUGGGUUUGAAUCCCACUGCAUGUGAGUUAUAUGCCCUUGGAUGAGUUGUUAAUGUUUUUGACCAUUAGUUUCUUAUUUUGGAAAGUCAAUAUAAUUAUCUCAAGGUUAUUAUGAGGAUUAAAUUAAACAUUUACCAAAAGAUGUAUGACAUAACCAGGUAUCCAGUAAAUUUGAAUUUCUUCUCCUUUGAUUUAAUUGGUUUUAUCAGGUGAUUUAAAAAAUUAUUAGUAAUUUUUGCUUUUGGUAAUCACAGUGUUCGAUUUAGGAUGAAAUUUUUCCUCUUUCUAAAUACUGCUUUGAUUGGGGAUAGUAACAGGAGGCUAGGUCAGAGCAGUUAAAUGCUUAAAGUAGUGGGUUGAGGAUGGAUAGUAUAUUCCUUGCUUCAGCAGCUUUGCUAUAGGAAUCACUAACUGAUAAGCAGAAAGCAGUUUCUCUGAACAAUUCCUGCUUACCCUCUUUUGUGAGUAAAAUGUUUUAAAAAGUGAGAGUGUAUGUCCUUUGAAGUAAAAAUUAUUUGUUCUAAGGAAAUCAUGCAAUUAUUGAAGAAGCAGUGUGAAUUAAGAUGUCCAUUUUAAUAGUAUUUAUUGUAUUUGUGUGUGUGAAUGAAUGGAAUGGCCAUAAUGCCCAUCAAUAAAGAGAAUGGUUGAGUAGAUUGUGGUGCAGAUAUUUAAUGAAAUUACUAUAAAUGUUUAGUAAAGUGGAAAAUGCUUAUGCCUUAGGGAUAGAGGAUACAAAUUUAUGUACUAUGAGUAUAGCUAUGUGUAAGUAUCAUUUGAAGGAAAUAUGUUAAUCGUGUCUUUAUGAAAGAGAGUACCUAUUUUUUUUUUAAGGUAACAAUAAUACAGAUGACUUAUGCUUCUAAUUUUACUAAUAACCUUAUAUUAAAAGAUACAAGCUCAUUAAAAAAAUCAGGAUAGAAAAAUAUAAGCAAAAAUGUUAAAAUUCUGAAUAUAUUAGACAUCUCUUCUCUGUGUAUAUUUAUAUAUACAUGUAUGGGUAUGCAUUUUUUCCCCACAGGUAGGAUCAUUCUUUACUUCUUUUUUUUUUUUAAUCAACAUAUAAUGUAUUAUUUGUUUCAGGGGUACAGCUCUGUGAUUCAUUAGUCUUACACAAUUCACAGUGCUCACCAUAGUACAUACCCUCCCCAAUGUCCACCACCCAGCUACCCCAUCCCUCCCACCCCCCUCUAUCAUUCUUUACUUCUGAAACUUGUUCUCUUUCCCAUCAGUAAUAUAAAACGUGUACAUAUUAGUACUAUAUGGAGAUCCUUGUUAAUGGCUGCAGUAUAUAUGGGAGAAAAUACCAUAAGCUAAAUUCUCCCCUAUUGGACAUUAAGGUCGUUUCGGGUUUAGUUUCUAUGAACAAGCUGCAAUAAACACAUAUAUUGUGAAUCCAAUUUAUAUAUUUUUGUCUGUAAACUUUUAAACCCAAUUAUAUAUUUUGAACCCAACUUUUAAAAAGUAGUCAACUGUAUAUAGUUACACUAUAUUAUUGGGCAUUGUUUGCUUUCAUGUAUAUUUUCAUCAUUCCAGUUAGAUGGUAGGUUCUGUGACAUCAGGUACAAUGUUUAGUGUUUCUUUUGUAUUCACAAAGCAUCUCAUCAAGGAGAUAUUUCAGUAAAUAUGCUCAGGAAGUGAUAUUUUGGUAUUUGUAAGAUACCACAUCAUUGCCUCCUCCCGUAUUCUAGAUUCACAGCGAGUAGUAGAACUCUAGGGAUUGAAAAACUUCCCCUAAAUAAAGUAAUGCAUAUAGAGCAAAAGUUAUUUCUUAUGAAAUACUUUUCAUUAAAACUAUCCCGAGUUCAGUGUAAAAUUACAGGAAAAACUUUUUCCAUGUGAAAUGCAAUUAACUGUAGUAAGAAGCUUUUUAAAAAAGCAGAGUUCAUACAAUUAGAAUAUAUAUAUAUAUUUUUUAGAUUUUUUAUUUAUUUAUUUGACAGAGAGAGACAUAGCGAGAGCAGGAACACAAGCAGGGGGAGAGGGAGAGGGAGAAGCAGGCUUCCCGCUGAGCAGGGAGCCGGAUACGGGACUCGAUCCCAGGACCCCGGGAUCAUGACCUGAGCCAAAGGCAGACGCCUAAUGACUGAGCCACCCAGGCGCCCACAAUUAGAAUAUAUUUAAAAUGGGCCGAACUUCUUGCAAAGUUGAACUUGAUUAUCCAUUAAGAGUUCUAUUCGAGAUCCAUUGAGGAUCCAUUCAGUGGUAUCCAUUAAGAGUUGAUGCUUGAAAACACACCACUUGAAUCUGAGUCUCAGCUCUGUGAUUUCCUUUCUAUACUGUGGGCACCAUUACUUCUUUGUGCCUCCGUCUUCUCACCUAUAAAAUGGAAAUCAUAAUAAUGUCUUUUUAUGAAGUUGUGAUAAAGAUGCUCAUUCAUGUAAAGAUCUAAAAACAGUGCCUUGCAAUAGUAAGCACUCAGUGAUUAUAGGUUUUUAACAUUAAUAUGAGUUUCUUGUUGGAUGCUAUUGAUUUUAUUUUAUUUUUUUAAAGAUUUUAUUUUUGAAUAAUCUCUUCACCCAAUGUGGGACUUGAACUUAUAACCCCGAGAUCAAGAGCCACAUGCUCCACGGACUGAGCCAGCUGGGCACCCCUGGAUGCUAUUGAAUUUAUAAAAAUUGAGAGCCACAUUAUAAAGUUGAAGUUUUUUCUUUCAUGUUUCAGAUACCUACAUCACAAAAUAUUCUUAUACUUUUGUUAAGCAUUUUUUGAGAAUGUGCACGUGCCAGGCAUUAAUGCUACGUCCUGUGUAAUAUAGUGGUGAAUAAAACAGAAGACACUAACUGCCCUCAAGGUGCUUAUGAUGAGUGGGAAAGGCAGACAUUAUUAAUGUCCAAUAUUUAAGCUUUACUAUGGGUCAGGCCCUUUUGCUAAAACUACUACAAAAGUUAUCCUCUUUAAUCUUAACAAGCAUUCUCCUUAUUAGGUAUAUACCUUAUCCUCAUUUUAUGCAUGAGGCUGAGAGAACUUAAUUAACUUUGUCAAGAUUAUACCGCUGCUAAGUGGCAGAACUGAAAUGAAACCAGAGAGUCUAAUACCAAAGCCCCAGCCUUUAUUUAACCACUCUGCUGGGUGGUAAAUAAAACAUAUAGUAAUAAAUUGCGAUUAUUGGGGUAGGGUACUGAUUAACCCUAGCCUGCCUUUCUCUAAAUAGAUACAGGAGUCAGAGAUAAAAAUAUGUACUUUAUUACUGUACAGCUGGCAUGGAGAAUGGCUUGGACAGGCAGCUCAAAUGGGCUUCUUAUUUUGUCCCCACUGCAUUGAACUUGCACAUUCAGUCAUGGGCAGGUCAGCUAGAAACCUGAUGACAUUCCCUGUUCCAGGAGGUCCCAAAGGGCUUACCAGCAGAGGAGAGGGGAACAUGCUCAGCCUGCAGGUGGACAGGCAAACUGAGGUGGAGAGUUGAGGAUAGGUCACAUGGCAGUGGUCAUUUUCUGUCUCAGUAGAGCCAUUGAGGGGUUAAGAGAAGAGUAUACAUUUACUUGGUACUUCCAAGAGGGAAGAAGUUACUCUUUUAUGGGUUUGUAGGAACAGGAGUGGGAGAGGGGAGUACACCCCCUCUGUUUAUGUAGGAUAAGGAAGGAAACAAGGAGGGUGUUGUGACAGAAUAACUGAGACCUGUUGAUAAUCUCGAGGAGGAUGGCAAUUUAAACCAGUGCUUGAAGGAUAAGGAUUCAGCUGUGGGGUGGAGUAGAGAUGGGAGAGAAGGGCAGCUCAGGAACCAGAAACAACCCGUUGAAGAAUUUAAGGAACUAAAAGGAGCCAGCAUGUUCAAAACAUAGUGGCUGAGGGAAAGGAAGGAGCAGUACAGGAGCAAGAUGGAGUGGUCAUUGGUGGUCAUAUCACUUGAGCCUAUAGGCUAUGAUAGGAAAUUUGCAUUUUAUUUUAUAUGCCAAGGAAAUUCCUUGAAGGAUUUGAAGCAGUGGGUGUUGCCAUCUAAUUUUAUUUUUAAAAGAUUGAAUUGGAUGCUUGUAGAGAGUAUAUAAGAAGGGAACAAAACAGGGGCAGGGAGACCAGUAUAAGAAGGCAGGCUGGUGAUGAGGAUGUUGUGGACCAGUAUGGUAGCAGUGAAAGGAAGAGAAGUUGAAUUAGAGAUGUAUUUUGGAGAUGGAAAUGACAAGACUUGCUGAUUUGGAUGGGGGCCAGGAGGCUGGAGGAAAUCAAGGAUGAUAUUCAAAUGUUUAGCUUGAGCAGUUGGCUGGAAAGUCCAUUUAUUGAGAUAAUAGGAGACAGAGAGAGGAAUAGUUCUAGGUGUUUUGCAUUUGCUAAGUUUUAAGGUGCUUAUGUGGUUUUCAUGUGGAGAUGUUAGGUAGGCAGUCAGGCUCAGAGAAGAGAUUUCAGUGAGAGACAUAGAUUUGCAAGUUUUCUAUAUAAGAUGGCAUUUAAUUUAAAGUCUUGGAUAUAGAUGAAAUCAUCUAGGAGAAUGUGGGAGAGAGAAGAGGGCCCAGUGUCAUGCCCUGAGGAACUAACAGAGUUCCAAGUAGAGGGACCACAUGCAGUGGCGUCAGAGAGGGAGCUGCCAUAGAGGUCACAGAAAACCAGUAGAAUGUGCUGUUAUGGACUCCAGAAUGGAGAGUGUUUAGACAAAGGGGAAAUGUUAACCAUGUCAACUGGUAAUCCAGGAAAGUGACCGUUGGAUUUGGUAACAGGUCAUUAAUGACCUGAGAAGAGCAGUUUCAGUGUAGGAUUGAGGAAAGAACGGGAGCUGAGGAAAUGAGUCAAACCUUAAGAUACAUAUGAAUUACUUGGAGGUCUUGUUAAAAUGUAGAUUCUACUUUAAGGCCUGAGAUUCUGCAUUUCUAAAGAGCUCCCCCAUAGUGCCAAUGCUGCUGGUCUUGUGGAGGAGCAGAGGUAUAGAUUAGUGGUUCUCAGACUGAACCGUGUGUUAGAAUUAUGGGGCGGGUUUGAUAAUACAAAUUACUGUACCCACUUCGGUUUCCAAUUUAGUAGAUCUGGGGUAGCACCUGAGAAUUUGCAUUUCUUAUCAAUCCCCAGGUGACACAAAUACUGUUGGUCUAGGAACCACACUGUUGAGAACCACUGGAGAAUUUUAGCUGUAGUGGAGAGCUUUCAAGGGAAAUUUUUUGUUUGUUGAGGUUGGGCAAUAACUUGAGCAUAUUUAUGUUGAUGAGAAUGA